rnacentral:rRNA from 1 species
AUUGAACGCUGGCGGCAGGCUUAACACAUGCAAGUCGAGCGAGCGGCGGACGGGUGAGUAAUUUCUGGGAAACUGCCUGAUGGAGGGGGAUAACUACUGGAAACGGUAGCUAAUACCGCAUACCAUCAGAUGUGCCCAGUGGGGAUUAGCCAGUAGGUGGGGUAAUGGCUCACCUAGGCGACGAUCCCUAGCUGGUCUGAGAGGAAGACAAGACACACUGGAAAUGAGACACGGUCCAGACACCUACGGGAGGAAGCAGUGGGGAAUAUUGCACAAUGGGCGCAAGCCUGAUACAGGCAUGCCGCGUGUGUGAAGAAGGCCUUCGGGUUGUAAAGCACUUUCAGCGGAGAGGCGUUACUCGCAGGAGAAGCACCGGCUAACUCCGUGCCAGCAGGCGCGGUAAUUC